UGAUUUUGGGGAAUUCACGCUU
rnacentral:misc_RNA from 1 species